CCACAGGUAACCACCUUCAGUAAUUAAAAGACAGUAAACCUUCUAACCAAUAUCAAAUAAUUAAGCAUGGGAAAAAGGGAAAAGAAAAAAAAAAGUCAUGAUAGACAUCCACAUGAGAAAUACCAGACACAGCCAUGUCCUUAAAGCACACACAAUUAUCCAUGUUCCGUUUCAAAAAAUAAAUAAUAAAUAUCUAUGAUAUGAAACUAUUAUCAUAUUGAACAAUUACCAGCUGUCACUUUUGUUCAGUUGAUUCUAAAUAAAUAAAAGAAAGGAACUCUUUAUGACAAUCAAUAAUGCAAAUCCCAGUGAAUGCCACAUUGGACUGACUCAUAUCCAUAUAAUGCCAAAAUACAAAUAAAAUGCAAUGUAUUGCUACGGAAAAUUCCAGAACAUAGGGGGCAAAUGAAGGGAAUAUGUAUAUCAUCUGUACAUGUUCACUCCAAGGAAUGUUCAACUCAAAUCGCUUCCAUUGUUUGAUUCCGUCUUCCCCCACACAGAAAAGAAAAGGUGAUGUAGAACCAACAGGUAUUAGGGGAUUUUGGGUGAUAAAAAAAAUUCUCAAAUUUGGGAGAAACUAAUUCUGAAUUUAUUUGCUCAAAAUCAAUAG
rnacentral:misc_RNA from 1 species